rnacentral:lncRNA from 1 species
GGUAGGAAUGGAUGGGCACCGACAGGGAUUCAGAGGGACCAGUUGAAAGACCAUGUUUUGAUCAUCCGGUCUUCAAACACCCUGAAGUGCGAGGACAAACCCGGAGGCGAUCAAAUCUUGUGGGAACGUGUGCAAAACUCUGCAGAGUACUCAAACCUAAUCGAUUAGCCGUGUCCACGGCCAUGGACAACUUGAGCCAAAGGAACUGAAGUUAUCUGGAUUUCUCAACACCAUUAUAUAUAUAUAUAUUUGAUGAGGGU